UGCUUAAAAAUGCAGAGUCAAAGUUAAAUCUCCCUUUCCGAAUUUCGUCUCUAAACACAAAACCCUACAUUUUCAAUGGAGAACGAAGGAAGCAGCAGCAACAGCAAUGAAGUCCCGCCAUCUCAACCGCUACAGUCUCUCUCCAUUUCGCCUCAGCCGCAAUUGAGCUUGAAGGAGAGGUACGAUUUGGUAAGGAGCAUUGGCGAGGAGUGCAUACAGGAGGAUGAAUUGGAGCGAUUGUUGGCGAACAAGCCUAACAUUGUUUGCUAUGAUGGAUUUGAACCGUCUGGAAGAAUGCAUAUUGCUCAGGGAGUUAUGAAGGCAAUUAAUGUCAAUAAACUGACUUCCGCGGGAUGCAAAGUGAAGAUAUGGAUUGCAGAUUGGUUCGCACAGCUGAACAACAAAAUGGGCGGUGACUUGAAAAAGAUACAAGUGAUAGGGCAGUACCUGAUUGAGAUCUGGAAAGCUGUAGGGAUGAACAUUGAAGGAGGCCAGGUGGAGUUUCUAUGGUCUUCUGAAGAGAUCAACUCCCGGGCUCAUGAGUACUGGCCCCUUGUGAUGGACAUAGCCAGGAGAAACAAGCUUCCUAGGGUGCUGCGGUGCUGCCAAAUUAUGGGCCGCUCCGAGCAAGAUGAAUUGUCAGCAGCCCAGAUAUUCUAUCCGUGCAUGCAAUGUGCUGAUAUAUUCUUCCUUAAGGCUGACAUCUGCCAGUUGGGUAUGGACCAGCGCAAAGUAAAUAUGUUGGCUAGGGAGUAUUGCGAUGACAUCAAAAGAAAAAACAAGCCUAUCAUACUGUCUCAUCAUAUGCUCCCUGGGCUGCAGGAAGGACAGGAGAAGAUGUCGAAGAGUGAUCCUUCUUCUUCUAUCUUCAUGGAGGAUGAAGAGGCUGAUGUAAAUCUGAAGAUAAAAAAAGCCUUCUGCCCUCCAAAAGUGGUGGAAAAGAACCCGUGCUUGGAGUACAUCAAAUAUAUUGUUAUCCCAUGGUUCAAUGAGUUCACAGUUGAGCGGAAACCAGAUAAUGGGGGUGAUAAGACUUUCAAGAGUUUCGAAGAUUUAGUUGCUGACUAUGAAAGUGGACAGCUGCAUCCUGGAGAUCUCAAGCCAGCUCUUGCAAAAGCACUAAACCGGAUACUGCAGCCGGUACGUGAUCAUUUCAUCAACGAUCCGAAGGCUAAGGAUCUACUGAAAAGGGUGAAGGGUUACAAGGUAACCAGAUGAUCUUGAGAAAGCAAAACCACAGUCUUCCGAAGAGGAUUGCAAACUUUUGGUCUUUAUUAUCACAAUAGCAAUGCCACCAAGCUGAGUCUUUAAAACAAUCCUCAGGAGCAAAUGACAACAUCUUUUGCUGCAAAUCAUACACAAAUCUGAUAUUCCUCUGCUGAAAUACCCCCAAAAUGGAUAUAGUUUUCGACUCCAACGCCAUAAAAUCGAACACAUUCUUCUCCAAAAAGAUGAACAGAUUUGUCGGCGCUGCCGCCACCAAAUCAGCCCCUUAAAAUGAAACACCAUCGUCGGUAGACUCGGCCGCGUCAUUGCAUAACUAAAACAGAUAUAUGUGUCCGGAACAUCCGCCGAGUUGUCGAGUAUACCGCUGACCUCUGGCAGGUAAGGCCCGCCGUUGGAGGUCCCGCAGCCGAAAACGAUGUUCUUCACGGAUGCGGGCCGUUUCAAACUGCUGUCGAACGUGAAUGUUUCGGUUGCGGCAGGGCCCUUCGAGAACUGGCCGCUGUAGUAGCUGGUGGAGUAGCUGCAGCCGCUACCGAAGAAAGAGCACUGGAAGCGUUUGGCGAGGGGGUGUUUUUUGCUGAUCGGCUUGUAGCUGCUCGACUUAUUCGGUUCGAAGACGGGGUCGUUCUGCUUAAAGCAGCGCGUGCAGGGGCUGCAUUGCAUCCACGUGAGGCCGCUGCCGGUGUCGAAGACGAGAGUCCUCUUGACGGCGGGAGCUUCAAGGUGAAGGCCGACGAGGACGUCGGCCGUCGUAGGAACAAGAGGGCGAAGAAGAGGAAGAAGAUGUUGAUUGAAGGCAUUAUGGUUAAGAUGAUGGGAGAGGAAAUCUAAUUUCUACUUAUAUGGAGAAGUGUGGGAAUAGAUGUUGUUUUGAGUAAUUGUGAUGUGCCUAUUUUGCUUCCUUUUUCUUUUUGUAUGUGAUCUGUUAUUUAUUUCUUAGGUUCAAAUGAGAAAUUGGAUAUUUGGUUAUGUGAUUAGUCUCAACAAGGAAUUAUGUAUUUACACAUGGAGCUUAGA